rnacentral:rRNA from 1 species
GAUGAACGCUGGCGGCGUGCCUAAUACAUGCAAGUCGAACGGACGGACCACUUGCGUGCUUCACUGGUGUUAGCAGCGGGCGAGUGAGUAAUACGUGGCUAGCCUUCGUCUUUGACUUGGCUAACUGCGGCAGGCGGGAGUAACUAAUAGGUGAUAUUUUGGACCGCUUGGGUUUGGAGUGUAUGACGGUCUGGGUGUCACUUCUAGAUGGAUCCGCGCUUCAUUAGCUGGUUGGUAGGGUAACGGCUUACCAAGGCGGCGGUGGAUAGCCGACCUGAGAGGGUGUUGGGCCACACUGGAAGUGAGACGCGAUCCAGACUCCUACGGGCGGCAGAAGUAGGGAGGCUUCCGCGAAGGGGGGAAGACUGCCGGAGCAACGCCGCGUGGGUGAUGAAGGUCUUCGGAUGGUAGAACUCUGUUAUUAGUGAAGAACAUAUGUGUAAGUAACUGUGCACAGCUUGACGGUAGCUAAUCAAAAAGCCACGGCUAACUACGUG